rnacentral:rRNA from 1 species
GGCGGCGUGCUUAACACAUGCAAGUCAAGGGGGCCCAGCAAUGGGCAACCGGCGAACGGGUGCGUAACACGUGAGCAACCUACCGAAGUGUGGGGGAUAGCCGGCCUAACGGCCGAGUAAUACCGCAUACGAUUCCGAAGAGGCAUUUCUUUGGAAUGAAACCUACGGGACACUUCGAGGGGCUCGCGGCCUAUCAGCUAGUUGGUGAGGUAACGGCUCACCAAGGCGACGACGGGUAGCUGGUCUGAGAGGAUGGCCAGCCACAUUGGGACUGAGAAACGGCCCAGACUCCUACGGGAGGCAGCAGUGGGGAAUCUUGCGCAAUGGCCUAACGGCUGACGCAGCGACGCCGCGUGAGGGAUGAAGCUCUUCGGAGUGUAAACCUCUGUUGCCCGGGACGAACAGCUCGUCUAAACGAGCCUGACGGUACCGGGUGAGGAAGCACCGGCUAACUCCGUGCCAGCAGCCGCGGUAAUACGGGGGGUGCGAGCGUUGUCCGGAAUCACUGGGCGUAAAGGGCGCGUAGGUGGUCUGAUAAGGGUGUGGUGAAAGUCCGGGGCUCA